GGACCCAAGACCCUCCCUUGCCGUGACACCUUGGGAUCUGUGGCAGCCCUGGUGGGAUCUGGCACUCAUUAGCCCACUCCUGAGAAAACUCAGAGGAGACACACGGAACACUUACAGCCUAGAGUCCCCAGUGUUUGAGUCACAGUUGUCAUCUGCCCAUCCCUUUGUCACCUGGGGUGAAAGCCAGUUACUAAUUACUUCCUUGUCUAUGUCCAUUCAUAGGGCACAGACUUUCCAUCCUGACCGUUCAGAUGGUCCUCAGGCCUCCAGACGGUGACAGAGAAGAGGGGGAAAGACGGGCUGAAACCUCCAGAAGCGGGGGACACAGAAAAGACUCAAGAUGAUACCGGAUGCCACACACUGGCUGCUUGCUCCCUGGCCUCAGCCUGGUAGCAUGGAGCCAGGCAAAGCAAUCAAACAGAUACCAGCACAAGGCUGGCAUUUAUAGUCCACCUGUCUGUCUAUCCUAGCAUAGUCAGGCUUCUGAGUGAUGUAACAUGACACCCAGCGCAUCCUGCUUUUGAAAGGAAACUUCGAUGGUGGUUGGCAAAUUACCGUUCACCGCUCGGACUGAUGGAGUCACCGGAGAGGAGAGCGAGCCGCCGCACCUGGUGUUUGUAAUUACAGGCUUUCACCGGAGGAAAGAAGGGAUGGAGCGGCCAAAUACAGCUGAGCGCGGCGAAGGGGAGGGAUCGCAGGGCUGGGCAGGAAGAGCCAGCAGCGAGGAUGCUGCCCCGCCCCGCCCCAACUCGGCACCCUCCUCUCCUUACUUGGGGCUUGUCUGUUUCCUUUUCUUUCUGCUUUUCCUCAUCUCAGGACUCUUUUUUUUUUUUUUGUCCCGCUUCCCACAGCAGCGUCAGGCGAGUCAUAACGAUGAAAUCAAAGCUCAUGAGGCAUCCACAUCUUCGUGUCAAGCAACCUGUGUUUUGCUUCAGAGGCGCCCUCUCUGAUGUUAUUUAUGUCUGAGAACUUGCCAGAACGCUCAAGAAUUCUCUCCAGAGACAAUGCUGAGGGAACUUAACAAAAACAGGCCACGAUGACGCUGUCCACUGUUCCCGAAGCCAGGCCUUUAGUCAUCCCUUUUAAUUUUGAAGUGGUAUGAGAACACUUGGUACCUGGAAAGCAAUCUAGUGUCUUGCACCGGAACUGUAGCUGGCGGGCUUCCUCACUUCCCCCCUCCCCUCCCCUUCCCUCCUCUCCCCUCUCCUCCCCUCCUCUCCCUUCCUCUUCUCCCCCUUCUCUGCUUUCCCUCCUGCUCUGGGUCAGAACCUAGGGCUCAUGCAAGCUGUCUACCUACCACUGAGCUGUAUCCCAACCCUGGGGCUAUUUAACUUAUAAAUUAAAAGGUAUCAGAUGUAUCCAUGUGAAAUUACAAAUUCUACUUUAAAGGGGAGAAAAAGGGAAAGUUUAUUCCUAGCUUAAUGUAAGAGAUCAUGGCCUGAUGAGAGAUCCAGGUUACCUUGCAAUAACACAUCCCACAAUAGAAAAGACUGCAUGACCUUUUGUAGCCGCAGAACAACAUCAAAAAGUCAGAUCAAGAUAUUCACCAGUUAUAUUGGCGGGAGCUUCAGGGUCGCAGAAAAGCUAAAGCCUUAGGUUUCGGAUGUGGCAUUUUUUGCUCUAGUGUCGCUGGAGCCCAGAGGUGGUCUCCUAAGUUUCUGUGUUUCCAUAAAUUUUACCCAGCACAAGCAUGCUCAUUGGGUCAAAUAUAAAAGUUAAGGUAGAUGGCUCUUUAUGGGUUUAAAUAGCCCAAGGGGAUUUUGACUCACAAUCUGUAACAUUUUGCCUCUCCAGACUCACAAUGCUCUAGCAAGCCAAAGGCGAGCAUUCUGCAAGGUCUCUGAAAAAAGCUUCCUGUACAUUAAAAAGGAAAGUGAGAAUUCAGGCUGUGUGAACGAUCCUUCAAGGGCUACAUAGUUAUGGUCUGUGUGUAGCUGGUGGCUGGACAGCACAGAGGCAGAAUGUUCAUCACGCAGCAGGAGCCCCCCAGCACUGGGAUCCUGUCCUAGGCAGAAUUCCCGAAGCAGCAGCCCAGAGACCCGGUUUGCCAUCAGAUAGCUGUCACCCUCUCAGCAGUCCCCUUAACACUUUUUGGGAACCACUUAGCCAAAGAUCUGUCUUCUCUUUCUGCUUAAGUUCUGAAAUAGGGCUCCAAAAAAUUAUCCUGGCAUCGAGGAUGGGGCAUCUGAGCCACGUGACAUCCUUUGUCUUUGCCGGAGUUCAGAGACUGUUUCUCUUCCCACCGAUUGCAUAACAGGCACUUAGGAACUGCCUUCACUGAAAAGCGCUGACUCCUCACUUAUGUCCUCAGGUACCUAAACGCAGGGAAGAUGCCAUCCUUGUCUUUAUUUGACAUCUGUCUCUUUUACUUUGGGUCACGCUCCCGCUUAACUCCACACAGACAUGCCAGUCACUUGAGGAGCAACCGGCAACAUGGAACCUGCCUCGCUCCCCUUCAAGACUGAAGGCACAGAGUGAUCAGGCAUUUGCUGUCAUCUUCUACAGUGUCCUGGUGCAGACUCCGAAAAGGCAGCGGAAGACCUCCAGUCAUUGUCCUAAACCGCUGUCACCUUGUAUCUCAGAACAGCGGAACUUCGUUCCCAAGCAGCAGCAAUUAUCUGAUGGAAAACAGGCUGUCUCUUCCAUCCACAAGGACUCUGGGCUGGGGAGAUGGAUCCGUUGGUAAAGUACCUGGCACACUAUAGAGAGAUCAUGUAGAAAUUUCUCCAGAUGCUGAACAGUAAGAGAAAGAAAGGAUGGGGCAAAGAGGUUAGAAAAUCAUGAAGACCACUUAUCUGAACUGCAUUGACAAAAUGGACCAGUGAUCUUCCCGAACAGCGACCAACGGGAUUCAUGAUCGAGACCGUUAGUAAAAUGCACUUGGGCGAUUGCCGAUCUUGUGAUUCAUGGCCAAGGCACGCCCACCCUCUCCCAGCCCUCCCCUCUAGGAUCAACGCGGGACGUCGUUAGAGAAAUAGCAGGAAGUUAACUCACUCUGAACAAAACCAUUGUCUUAGGUAGGGUGUCUAUUGCUGUGAAGAGACACCAUGACCUCAGCAACUUCUACAAAGGAAAAACAUUGAAUUGUGGGGGCUCGUUUACAGUUCAGACGCUUAGUCCAUUAUCAUCAUGGCUGGGAGAAUGGCAGUGGGCACAGCGGCAUUCAGGCAGACAAGCUGCUGGCUACAUCUUGAUCAGAAGACAACAGGAAGUGGCUGGCCUCACUGGGCGUGGCUUGAAUGUAAAUGAGACCUCAAAGCCCGCCUCCACAGUGAUAU